rnacentral:rRNA from 1 species
AGCAGUGAGGAAUAUUGGACAAUGGAUGGAAAUCUGAUCCAGCCAUGCCGCGUGCAGGAAGACGGCCCUAUGGGUUGUAAACUGCUUUUGUAUGGGAGCAAUAAGGUCUAUGCGUAGACUGAUGAGAGUACCAUACGAAUAAGCAUCGGCUAACUCCGUGCCAGCAGCCGCGGUAAUACGGGGGAUGCRAGCGUUAUCCGGAUUUAUUGGGUUUAAAGGGUGCGUAGGCGGUUUGAUAAGUCAGCGGUGAAAUAUUUCAGCUUAACUGAAAGGGUGCCGUUGAUACUGUCAGGCUUGAAUAUGGUUGCUGUGGGUGGAAUGUGUGGUGUAGCGGUGAAAUGCUUAGAUAUCACACAGAAUAUCGAUUGCGAAGGCAGCUCACAAAGCCAUUAUUGACGCUGAUGCACGAAAGUGUGGGGAUCAAACAGGAUUAGAUACCCUGGUAGUCCACACUGUAAACGAUGAUAACUCGCUGUCGGCGAUACACAGUCGGUAGCCAAGCGAAAGCGAUAAGUUAUCCACCUGGGGAGUACGACCGCAAGGUUGAAACUCAAG